rnacentral:rRNA from 1 species
AUUGAACGCUGGCGGCAUGCCUUACACAUGCAAGUCGAACGGUAACAGGUCUUCGGAUGCUGACGAGUGGCGAACGGGUGAGUAAUACAUCGGAACGUGCCCAGUCGUGGGGGAUAACUGCUCGAAAGAGCAGCUAAUACCGCAUACGACCUGAGGGUGAAAGCGGGGGACCGAAAGGCCUCGCGCGAUUGGAGCGGCCGAUGUCAGAUUAGGUAGUUGGUGGGGGAAAGGCCGACCAAGCCGACGAUCUGUAGUUGGUCUGAGAGGACGACCAGCCACACUGGGACUGAGACACGGCCCAGACUCCUACGGGAGUCAGAAGUGGGGAAUUUUGGACAAUGGGGGCAACCCUGAUCCAGCAAUGCCGCGUGCAGGAAGAAGGCCUUCGGGUUGUAAACUGCUUUUGUCAGGGAAGAAAUCCUGUGGGUUAAUACCUCGUGGGGAUGACGGUACCUGAAGAAUAAGCACCGGCUAACUACGUGCCAGCAGCCGCCGUAACAC